CAAACAGAAGGCAAAUAGCCAGAAGACAAAUAAAAGACUGAAAACCUCUGAAGGGAUUAGGCUUGCAGGUCACAGUGAGAUCCGUGGGAAUGGGAGAAUACAAAAUGGCGGACGAACAGGUUAACGUACAGCUAUCAUGCACCUAACAACUGACCGACCCUAACAGAAAAGCUGAAGGUUAAAAGAAGAAAUCUACUCGUCAACUUUGACCAAGUUCUACAUGAACAGUUGCCCCCAAAAUCAUGAGAGUCUCUCACUGAAGGAAGACUCAGGAAUUGGGAGAAAAUAGUUUUUUUUUACAAGAACUAAACAGUAAAAAUGGUAAUAUUCUAUUAAUAAAGAAAUGACACUCAAGAGGUCAAAAUAAUUGAACUUCCUGACACAGCUUUGUGCAAUGUUUUCUACUUCUUUUAUAUAAUAACCUCAACAAGACUCCAAGUGAUAUUUCUUCUAUCAUAAUGAGCAGCUACUGGGAAAAAACAGAAACUACAAAAUUAUUUCUCCUGCUUC